rnacentral:rRNA from 1 species
AGUGAACGCUGGCGGUAGGCCUAACACAUGCAAGUCGAACGGCAGCACAGUAAGAGCUUGCUCUUACGGGUGGCGAGUGGCGGACGGGUGAGGAAUACAUCGGAAUCUACUUUUUCGUGGGGGAUAACGUAGGGAAACUGACGCUACUACCGCAUACGACCUACGGGUGAAAGCAGGAGAUCUUCGGACCUUUCGCGAUUGAAUGAGCCGAUGUCGGAUUAGCUAGUUGGCGGGGUAAAGGCCCACCAAGGCGACGAUGCGUAGCUGGUCUGAGAGGAUGAUCAGCCACACUGGAACUGAGACACGGUCCAGACUCCUACGGGAGGCAGCAGUGGGGAAUCUUGGACAAUGGGCGCAAGCCUGAUCCAGCCAUACCGCGUGAGUGAAGAAGGCCUUCGGGUUGUAAAGCCCUUUUGUUGGGAAAGAAAAGAAGCAGAUUAAUCCUCCGCCGUUCUGACGGUACCCAAAGAAUAAGCACCGGCUAACUUCGUG